rnacentral:rRNA from 1 species
AUUGAACGCUGGCGGCAGGCUUAACACAUGCAAGUCGAGCGAGCGGCGGACGGGUGAGUAAUUUCUGGGAAACUGCCUGAUGGAGGGGGAUAACUACUGGAAACGGGAGCUAAUACCGCAUACCAUCAGAUGUGCCCAGAUGGGAUUGGCUGGUAGGUGGGGUAAUGGCUCACCUAGGCGACGAUCCCUAGCUGGUCUGAGAGGAUGACCAGCCACAAGGUAACUGCGACACGGUCCAGACUCCAACGGGAGGAAGCAGUGGGGAAUAUUGCACAAGGGGGGCAAGCCUGAUGCAGCCAUGCCGCGUGUGUGAAGAAGGCCUUCGGGUUGUAAAGCACUUUCAGCGAGGAGGCGUUACUCGCAGAAGAAGCACCGGCUAACUCCGUGCCAGCAGCCGCGGUAAUUC